CCUACGGGAGGCAGCAGUGGGGAAUAUUGCACAAUGGGGGAAACCCUGAUGCAGCAACGCCGCGUGAAGGAAGACGGUUUUCGGAUUGUAAACUUCUGUUCUUAGUGAAGAAUAAUGACGGUAGCUAAGGAGCAAGCCACGGCUAACUACGGGCCAGCAGCCGCGGUAAAACGUAGGUGGCAAGCGUUGUCCGGAAUUACUGGGUGGAAAGGGAGCGCAGGCGGGAAGCCAAGUCAGCUGUGAAAACUACGGGCUUAACUUGUAGACUGCAGUUGAAACUGGUUUUCUUGAGUGAAGUAGAGGUUGGCGGAAUUCCGAGUGUAGCGGUGAAAUGCGUAGAUAUUCGGAGGAACACCGGUGGCGAAGGCGGCCAACUGGGCUUUAACUGACGCUGAGGCUCGAAAGUGUGGGGAGCAAACAGGAUUAGAUACCCCAGUAGUC
rnacentral:rRNA from 1 species